rnacentral:piRNA from 1 species
UGCACUCGCGUCGGAACAAGAAGACACUCGU